CCACCCUUAUAGAUUAUCCAUGCAUGUGUAGUAUAAGUAUUAGUACAGCGAAACUGCGAAUGGCUCAUUACAUCAGUUAUAAUUUAUUUGAUAAUCGAAAGUUACAUGGAUAACCGUGACAAAUUACAGCUAAUACAUGCAGUCAGACCUGGUCCAAGGGUCGUAAUUAUUAGUAUUAAACCAUUUCCGCAAGGAGUGUGAUGAAUCAUAAUAAUCGAACGAAUCGCCUGGUGUGCGAUAAAUCAUUCAAGUUUCUGCCCUAUCAGCUUUGGAUGGUAGUGUAUUGGACUACCAUGGCAGUCACGGGUAACGGAGAAUUAGGGUUCGAUUCCGGAGAGGGAGCCUGAGAAACGGCUACCACAUCUACGGAAGGCAGCAGGAGCGAAAAUUGCCCAAUCCCGACACGGGGAGGCAGUGACGAGAAAUAACAACUCUUGGUUAUUCUAAGAAGUGUAAUGAGGAUAAUUUAAAACCCUUACCGAAAGCAAUUGGAGGGCAAGUCUGGUGCCAGCAGCCGCGGUAAUUCCAGCUCCAAUAGCGUAUAUUAAAGUUGUUGCAGUUAAAAAGCUCGUAGUUGAAGUUCUGGCUGUUCAAUCCUCGAGCUCUGUAACCGAGGACUCGACAGUCAUCCGCUUGCAAAUAUAUGUUCUCCUUUAACCGGGCGGCUAUAUGAGUAAGCAAUUUACCUUGAAAAAAACAGAGUGUUCCAGGCAGGUUUGUCCGGAAUGCAUUAGCAUGAAAUAAUAAAAUAUGACUGAAGUCUAUUUAUUGGUUUGAGGCUUUAGUAAUGAUUAAUAGGAACAGUCGGGGGCAUUGGUACUUGACAGUCAGAGGUGAAAUUCUAGGAUUUGUCAAAAACUAACAAAUGCGAAAGCAUUUGCCAAGGAUGUUUUCAUUAAUCAAGAACGAAAGUUAGGGGAUCAAAGACGAUCAGAUACCGUCCUAGUCUUAACUAUAAACUAUACCGACUCGGAUUCAGAUGAAUCAUAAAGUUCAUUUGGGACCGUAAGAAAAAUCAAAUUUUUUGGGUUCUGGAGGAAGUAUGGUCGCAAGGCUGAAACUUAAGGGUUUGACGGUUUUGCACCACCAUGGAGUGGAGUCUGCGGCUUAAUUUGACUCAACACUGGGAAACUCAUCAGGGCAAGAAGAUUGUAGGAUUGACAGAUUGAGAGUUCUUUCUUGAUUGGUCUAGUGGUGGUGCAUGGCCGUUCUUAGUUGGUGGAGUGAUUUGUCUGGUUAAUUCCGUUAACGAACGAGACCUUAACCUGCUAACUAGUACACAGAUGACAAAUCUGUGAUACUUCUUAGAGGGACUAUGUGAUGUAAUCACAUGGAAGUUUGAGGCAAUAACAGGUCUGUGAUGCCCUUAGAUGUCCUGAGCUGCACGCGUACUACAAUGGUGCUUUCAACGAGCUUUUCCUGAUCCGAAAGGAUUUGGGUAAUCUUUUUAGUGAGCACCGUGCUUGGGAUAGAUCUUUGUAAUUAUGGAUCUUGAACUAGGAAUUCCUAGUAAGCGCGCGUCAUCAGCGCGUGCUGAUUACGUCCCUGCAAAAUGUACACACCGCCCGUCGCUAUUACCGAUUGAGUGUAAAGGUGAACCUUCUCGAUAGACGCAAGUUUAGAAAUUAAGUAAACCUUGCACUAGAGAAAUAUAGUCGAUAUAUUCUG
rnacentral:rRNA from 1 species